CCGCUGGCUUGGGGAGGGGGAGAAACUGCAUUGCAAAGUGCCAGCAAAUGACAGUAAAAGUGAGAGCAACAUGUAAGGUGGCAAAAGCCCUUUGAGUGUCCCCCUUGGAAAGAAAAGGGUAAAGGCCCAAGGGGACACUUUGGGGGAAGCAGGGUCCCCCAGGGCCCCCCCUCCUGACUCCCUGCCCCCCACCUCCCCCCGCAGGAAAAAUGGAAGAGGUAGGGAGGAUCUGAACAGGGCGAGGCAAGAGUGGGCUUCGAACAUCCAAUAAAAGGCGACUUCUUUCCUUCCACACAUUCUUGCUGGGGCUGCGGAGCUGUGCUGUGAGCAGGUUUGUGUCUGAGCUCCUUUGUGGGCUCCGCUUGCUUCGGUUGGGCUCUGAUGGCUGAAGAAAUUCGCCUCACAGGCCAGGCGAGCUCUGAAGAGGAGCAGCCUCUGUGUGAGGGGACCUGGGCCUGGCCCUGCAUUUGUGAGCCCGGCUCACCCUCCCCAUCGGGCUGCGGGGAGGCCAGCGAGAACCCAGCCAUGGAGGCUGCUGCCAGCACCCCAACCUCGGUGGAGCUCAUUACGGUGACCUCGUCCUCGGAAUCGGAAAUUCUGGAGAACUCUCCCCAGAUUCAAGCCAAGAGGAUCUGUAAAACCACAAGGGUCCCUACUUUCAUGUCUGAGCACCAGGGUUCCCCAGCCAAGUUAGCCAGACUGAAGGGAAAUGACCUGUACAACGUCAAGAAAGAGUUGAGCAAGAUUAAAUAUAAAGUGGAUUCUCUGCUGUCCUCGGUUGAAAAAAUUGAGAUCAAGCAGAAACGCCAGGCCAAGAAAAGAAAGCUCACCAAGAUGCAAGUUCUGAAGAAAAAGGCCGUUUCUGGGACCACAGUUUAUGAAGAAGACGAGUUCUAUGAGGUACAAAAGGAGAGCAUCAUCCUUCAUGAGAACAACCAGGAUGACGAUUCUGGGCCAGAAACCUCCCAAGUGAAAGUCAUCAGGCAGAAGUGGGAAGAAGAGAUGGUUACGGAGAAAGCGAUCCCACUGCCUCAGGUGGAGGAGAAGAAAGAGAGGGUGAAGAAGCAGCGGGCCCGCAAAACCAUACAGAAGCGCAGAAUCUACGCCGGGGCAGCUGAGGGCAGUGGUAGUGGCAGCGGCGACAGUGGUGGCCGCAAAGAUAGCAAUUGAGUCUGUUUAGAAGGGGGUCACCUGGAAGAGAGGACCACUGAAGACCAAGGCUGACAGGACCAACUGAGAUGGCUCAGGACGAUGGAGCAGAAGGUGACAUCCGGAGCCCAUGUCCUAGAGCCAUUCUCACCAGGCCCUCUCCCUUGAGAUCUUCGAGCACAUGCUCACUAGUGUCCUCCACCUUUGUGUCUCCAGGUUCCCCACUUCAGCUGUUUGCAAAGGGUCUAUUCAUACCAAAAAAUUCAAUUUUGACCCCUGAAUUUUGCCUUGUUAAGUUGGAAAGCAUAAAAAAAAUAAAAAAAAAUUGUUCUUUCUUUGGUUUGGUCUU
rnacentral:lncRNA from 1 species